rnacentral:rRNA from 1 species
AUGCUACAACACCUCGAUCUGAAGGAUGAGGAGCUGGAUGACGUGGUCGUAGGCGAGGAGGAGUUGAGGAAAUUUGAGGCAGAGACUCGCUGGAUGGCAAUCGGGAAGCUGAACACGUCGAGACGUUUUAGUUCCACCGCGAUGUUUGAGACCAUGAAAUCGGUUUGGGGGCUAGUGCAGGUGCCGAAGUUCAGAGAGGCAGGCGAUAAUCUGUUUGUGUUUCAGAUGUUCUGCUUGGGGGACUGGAAGAAGGUCGUCCAUGGCGGCCCGUGGCUGUUCAAGGGGAUGGGCCUUCUAAUUGAGGACUAUGAUGGCAAGACAAAACCGGAGUCGGUGGUCUUCGAUGGCUUGUACGUGUGGGCUCAAAUUCACAAUAUCCCUGAAUUGUAUCGCAAAACAGAAGUUGUUGAUCAACUCGCUCGCCGUAUUGGCAGGGUGAAGGAGGUGGUACUUGCUCCGAAGCUUUACUAUGAGGGAGAU